rnacentral:rRNA from 1 species
UACAGAGGGUGCAAACGUUGCUCGGAAUUAUUGGGCGUAAAGCGCGUGUAGGCGGCUUGUUAAGUUGGUUGUGAAAACCCAUGGCUCAACCAUGGAAGGGCGUCCAAAACUGGCAAGCUAGAGUCCCGACGAGGAUGGCGGAAUUCCCAGUGUAGAGGUGAAAUUCGUAGAUAUUGGGAGGAACACCGGUGGCGAAGGCGGCCAUCUGGGAGGGCACUGACGCUGAGGAGCGAAAGCGUGGGGAGCGAACAGG